GUCCACGCCGUAAACGAUGUCAACUAGCCGUCGGCUCCAUCUAAGGGGUCGGUGGUGCAGCUAACGCAUUAAGUUGACCGCCUGGGGAGUACGCGCGCAAGCGUAAAACUCAAAGGAAUUGACGGGGGCCCCGCACAAGCGGUGGAGCAUGUGGUUUAAUUCGAUGCAACGCGAAGAACCUUACCAGCCCUUGACAUGUAGCGAAGUCCGCAGAGAUGUGGAUGUGCCUUCGGGAACGCUAACACAGGUGCUGCACGGCUGUCGU
rnacentral:rRNA from 1 species